rnacentral:rRNA from 1 species
CACGUAGGCACCAAGCGUUGUCCGGAUUUAUUGGGCGUAAAGAGCUCGUAGGCGGUUCAGUAAGUCGGGUGUGAAAACUCAGGGCUCAACCCUGAGAGGCCACCCGAUACUGCUGUGACUCGAGUACGGUAGGGGAGCGGGGAAUUCCUGGUGUAGCGGUGAAAUGCGCAGAUAUCAGGAGGAACACCAGUGGCGAAGGCGCCGCUCUGGGCCGUAACUGACGCUGAGGAGCGAAAGCAUGGGUAGCAAA